UACGUAGGGCGCAAGCGUUGUCCGGAUUCACUGGGUGUAAAGGGUGCGCAGGCGGGAAAGUAAGUUAGAGGUGAAAUCUCACAGCUCAACUGUGAAACUGCCUUUGAUACUGCUUUUCUUGAGUUAGGGAGAGGUUGAUGGAAUUCCAGGUGUAGCGGUGAAAUGCGUAGAUAUCUGGAAGAACACCGGUGGCGAAGGCGGGUCUCUGGGCCGAUACUGACGCUGAGGAGCGAAAGCGUGGGGAGCGAACAGG
rnacentral:rRNA from 1 species